rnacentral:lncRNA from 1 species
UCUACGUAUCUAUCACGUGGGCCUUGAACACAUGACCCCGAGAUCAAGAGUCCUGUGCUCUACCAACUGGACCAGCCCAGUGCCCAAGGAAGGGAUAUUUCUUAAACUGCCCUCUGUAGCCAGCAGGCCUAUUUGGGGCUGAUGGAGCCUGGAGGAUUACCAGGAUCCCCCAAAGACCACCCAGGGGCCCCCACUGCUGCCGUCCACAGAUGGGUCCACUUUGCCUCUGCCACCGAGAUUAUCACCAACUGAAAAAACAGCUCAUUCUCGUGGAGGACAGGCUCCCCACCACGGUCUGCUCCUCCUACCACCUUGGGAGGGACCAUCUCCACUUCGUAGACAUGGAAACUGAGGCAUGGGGAGGUCUGGAGGACCCGGCGCUGGCACAUAUGGAGAGAGCCCUAAACUUCAG